CAGCAGUAGCCACGGGAAUACAGAGGGUGCGAGCGUUAAUCGGAUUUACUGGGCGUAAAGCGUGCGUAGGCGGCUUCUUAAGUCGGAUGUGAAAUCCCUGAGCUUAACUUAGGAAUUGCAUUUGAUACUGGGAAGCUAGAGUAUGGGAGAGGAUGGUAGAAUUCCAGGUGUAGCGGUGAAAUGCGUAGAGAUCUGGAGGAAUACCGAUGGCGAAGGCAGCCAUCUGGCCUAAUACUGACGCUGAGGUACGAAAGCAUGGGGAGCAAACAGGAUUAGAUACCCGCGUAGUCCCUGUCUCUUAUAC
rnacentral:rRNA from 1 species